rnacentral:rRNA from 1 species
UACGAAGGGGGCGAGCGUUGUUCGGAUUUACUGGGCGUAAAGGGCGCGUAGGCGGCCUUGUCAGUCAGGCGUGAAAGCCCCGGGCUCAACCUGGGAACGGCGCUUGGGACGGCGAGGCUGGAGUUCGGGAGAGGAGAGUGGAAUUCCCAGUGUAGAGGUGAAAUUCGUAGAUAUUGGGAAGAACACCGGUGGCGAAGGCGGCUCUCUGGACUGCAACUGACACUGAGGAACGAAAGCCAGGGGAGCAAACGGG